UGGGGAAUAUUGGACAAUGGGGGAAACCCUGAUCCAGCGACGCCGCGUGGGUGAAGAAGGCCUGCGGGUUGUAAAGCCCUUUCGAUGGGGACGAAAGCUUCUGACCUAACACGUCGGGAGUCUGACUUAACCCAUAUAAGAAGCACCGGCUAACUCUGUGCCAGCAGCCGCGGUAAUACAGAGGGUGCGAGCGUUAAUCGGAAUUACUGGGCGUAAAGCGCACGUAGGCGGCUUGGUAUGUCGGGUGUGAAAUCCCCGGGCUCAACCUGGGAACUGCAUCCGAAACUGCCUUGCUAGAGUAUGGGAGAGGGAAGUGGAAUUUCCGGUGUAGCAGUGAAAUGCGUAGAUAUCGGAAGGAACACCAGUGGCGAAGGCGACUUCCUGGACCAAUACUGACGCUCAGGUGCGAAAGCGUGGGGAGCAAACAGG
rnacentral:rRNA from 1 species